GACAGAGGUGCCGAGCGUUAGGCGGAAUCACUGGGCUUAAAGCGUGUGUAGGCGGAUCGUUAAGUACCUUGUGAAAUCCCACGGCUUAACCGUGGAACUGCUGGGUAUACUGGCGAUCUUGAGGUGCUCAGGGGCGAGCGGAACAGAUGGUGGAGCGGUGAAAUGCGUAGAUAUCAUUUGGAACGCCAAUGGUGAAAACAGGUUGCUGGGAGUGUGCUGACGCUGAGACACGAAAGCCAGGGGAGCGAACGGG
rnacentral:rRNA from 1 species